AUUCAAAUAGCUUAAAAUAGAGCAUUACAUUGAAGCUGUAAGGGUAAUUAAUAUUUUUGAGUA
rnacentral:tRNA from 1 species